rnacentral:rRNA from 1 species
UACAGAGGUUGCGAGCGUUAAUCGGAAUUACUGGGCGUAAAGCGCGCGUAGGCGGCUUUGCAAGUCGGGUGUGAAAUCCCCAGGCUUAACCUGGGAACUGCAUUCGAGACUGCAUUGCUAGAGUAUGGGAGAGGGAAGUGGAAUUUCCGGUGUAGCGGUGAAAUGCGUAGAUAUCGGAAGGAACAUCAGUGGCGAAAGCGACUUCCUGGACCAAUACUGACGCUCAUGUGCGAAAGCGUGGGGAGCAAACAGG